rnacentral:lncRNA from 1 species
CCCCGGCCCGGGGGCCUGGGUGGGGGCGGGGCGCUCGGAUCGCCGAGUCACGGCCGGGGCCAGAAGCUCCGGAUCCCGGGCUCUAGGUUCUGUCCCUGUCACCGCUGACUCACUGGCUGCCGACCAGGAGUCGCUCCCAAGCUCAGCCUGCUUGUUUCUCUCUUCCCCGGUCGUGUGUCACAAAAGCAGAUGGCGUCUCUGAGAACCAGCGUCAUCUGGAGAGUGCCCUGCCCAGGGUGCCGGCUCCCCGCGGCCUCCCUUCCCCCAAAAUGCAGCUGGGAGGACCCUAGGCCCUGGCUCCACCUCCUCGAGACAGAGCUCAGGGUCCCCUUCCUGAAAGGACACAUUAACAAAGAGCAAUACGAGAGAGAAAGAGAGUAGAGCCCUUGUCCUCUCUGCUCUGAGGAAAAUGAGAGCGACAGUUAAUGGUCCUGAGUCAUUUUCUGGGAAGAUAGGGUGAUUUCCUGCUACAGGAAGGCACCCAACCGGGAGCCUGGUCCAGACUAGCAGGUGCUCCUACAGGGUUUGCUGAGUGAGCCUGGGAGAGCUGUGUGGGACUCCGUGGCCUCUGAAUGCUCUCCCCUCACCAGCCUGGGAGAACCUGGGAAAGACAAGGACCUCCCAGAAGUUGAGGAGCAGGAGGGAGUGCGGGGUGGGAGAAGGGACCUCUUUUGUUGUUUUUUGAGACAGGAUCUUGCUGUGUGGUAUAGGGUGGCCUCGAACUCAUGACAAUCCUCCUGCCUCAGCCUCCCCAGUGCUGGGAUCACAGGUGUGCGCCACCACACCGGGCGGCCCCUCCUCUUCACACAGCCCCCUCUCUCCUCCUGGAAGCUACUGCACCCUGGGACUCCAGCCCAGAGGCUGGAGGGGGACUUUCUGUCUUCCCUCAGGUCACCCUGAUGUGGCCAGCAUGUGGGGCCUGGCCUGGGCGCAGCACCUGCUCGGCCAGUCUAGGUUGCUGGGCUGCUGGAAUGAGGGCCACGGCUGUGGCCUCCACACAGGGGCCUGGAAGGGCCUCAGUGGCCACAGGGGAUCAGCUCCGGGCCUUGGUCCUCCGUCUUCACAGAGCGCCUGGUGACCAGGAGAAUGGGCCGGUCACCUCCUUCCACAGAUUCUGCAUCACCAUGCCCGACUCCUAGCAGCCCUGGGCUCAGCCCUGAGCCUCGACUUCCUUCUCUGUCUGCUGAGGAUGUGUGCACUGAC